GGAAGGUCGAAUGCUCGUCUACGAGCUCGAGAUCUACCGAGCCGAGGUUACGAGCGGUUCCGAUGUUCUAGACUUACACAGUGUCAAGACUUCCAGAACCGCCGCGUCCGAUUCGACCUUCGAAAGAUAACUGCGACGUCGAACGCUCGCUGAUCGCUUGACCUCUCGAUUAAUGAUUAUGUUUAUCGCGACACCUAAUGUGCAAAUCACUCGGACAUCGCCAACAUCUCGAUAUAAAACGUGUAUACCUACAACUUGCAAGUGAUUGAUAUUAGAACUUGGCGUCGGAGAUCAUUGUCGGAUGGAACUACUUUGGACAAUGAAUCGCUUUGUAUACCAAUUAUAGAGAGAAACCAACGGCGAGGGCCCAGGGACUCGACGGGGCAGACGGACACACCAGCGCCGGCCAUCACACGCGUGGUUGGUCUGGCGGAUGGGGCACUCGGAGAGAAGCAAUGCGUGUCAAACUACAUUUAUUGACAACACUUAUAGGAACUACUACAAGCAAUCAAUAGAACUUCAAGCAUAACCCGUGGAUGAUACUCUCGGAUGCAGACUGAUGUCCGCGGGUGAACGCUUCGCACACCCGGGGACGCGGAGUGUUAAUUUGUUGACACUAGCGUCACUUCACCGUCUCCACCGCCUCGCCGCGUGCUAGCACACAUACUUAAUAUAAUGAUGUCCAGCAUGGAUCAGACUCCAGUUUGCUGUGACGCGGGAAAGCUGAUAAAAACGGAUGACCGAAGAUAUGAUGAAACGUACUGCGGACUGCAGGUAGAUAUAUAGAAGAUCCAAAGAUAUAUUGACACUGCUCCAGUCCCCUGAGGACCGAGGAAAGUGGUGCUACUGGAGUCUCAAGGACUAUGAAGGCAGAUCACGUUCAAACAAUUAAUCAAGAAUAAUGCAAUUAAUUUUUAUAUUUUUAUUUCAAAAUUAUGAAAUCGAUAGAAGUUGUUAAUCUUCUCUUAUGCGAUUUAUCUGUUCUUAAUUUAAAAGGUUUAUUAUGCAUUUUUUCUAUUAUAUUAUGUAACACCUUAACUUAUUUAUAAAUAUAUUAAGCGACCCAAAGUAAAUGCCGCUGAGUGUUUUGUUAUUAUUAUUAAACGGGACCCGGAUGUGAAAUGGCUAAUCAUGUUAACCGAUAAAUAUAUAAAUAAAACUAUUGACAAACACCAAGUGUUUACUUCAGCGAAGGUUACAAUACAAGAGGAGCUCGCACAGGGCGGCGGUCGGCGCGAGGCGGACGCGAGCCUAUCUACUGCGCGGUAAUGUGAAUGUUCGUGACCGCUCUCAGAGCGAGCAGCUUCGAGAACUUCAAUACUAUUGCUGUUUUUAUCUUCAUGAUAGAAUUGCUAAUAA